rnacentral:rRNA from 1 species
GAAUGAGAUUUCGGUCAAAUGAAGUUGAGGACAGCGGCGGACGGGUGAGUAACGCGUGAGGAACCUGCCUUUCAGAGGGGGACAACAGUUGGAAACGACUGCUAAUACCGCAUAACACAUUGAGGUCGCAUGGCCUUGAUGUCAAAGAUUUAUCGCUGAAAGAUGGCCUCGCGUCUGAUUAGCUAGUUGGUGAGGUAACGGCCCACCAAGGCGACGAUCAGUAGCCGGACUGAGAGGUUGAACGGCCACAUUGGGACUGAGAUANGGCCCAGACUCCUACGGGAGGCAGCAGUGGGGAAUAUUGGGCAAUGGGCGCAAGCCUGACCCAGCAACGCCGCGUGAAGGAAGAAGGCUUUCGGGUUGUAAACUUCUUUUGCAAGGGAAGAGAAGAAGACGGUACCUUGUGAAUAAGCCACGGCUAACUACGUGCCAGCAGCCGCGGUAAUACGUAGGUGGCAAGCGUUGUCCGGGUUUACUGGGUGUAAAGGGCGUGUAGCCGGGUCGGUAAGUCAGAUGUGAAAUCUAUGAGCUCAACUCAUAAACUGCAUUUGAAACUGCUGAUCUUGAGUANCGGAGAGGCAAUCGGAAUUCCUAGUGUAGCGGUGAAAUGCGUAGAUAUUAGGAGGAACACCAGUGGCGAAGGCGGAUUGCUGGACGACAACUGACGGUGAGGCGCGAAAGCGUGGGGAGCAAACAGGAUUAGAUACCCUGGUAGUCCACG